ACAGAAUCUGCCGUCCUCAAUCGGAGUGCGAGUCGUAGCCGUCGGAUGAGGAAUCGGAGGAGGAAUCGGAGGAUUGGAGGUUGUAAUAGUAGUAGGCGUAGUGGCGUUGGUCGGGGGUGAGGGGGAAGCAGAAGAAAGAGAAGAUGCGGACGGCGAGGCGGCGGAGGUGGUGGAGAGGAAGGCAGCAGAGGAGAUCCAGCACCUGCUCGGCGCUGAGCCGCUCGGGGUUGCAGGCGAUGUACUGGCUCGCCUCCGCUGAAACCCUAGCCACCGUCGCCACCCACGCGCUGUUCAGC
rnacentral:misc_RNA from 1 species